rnacentral:rRNA from 1 species
GAUGAACGCUGGCGGCGUGCCUAAUACACGCAAGUCGAGCGAAUGGAUUAAGAGCUUGCUCUUAUGAAGUUAGCGGCGGACGGGUGAGUAACACGUGGGUAACCUGCCCAUAAGACUGGGAUAACUCCGGGAAAUCGGGGCUAAUACCGGAUAAUAUUUUGAACUGCAUGGUUCAAAAUUGAAAGGCGGCUUCGGCUGUCACUUAUGGCUGGACUCGCGUCGCAUUAGCUAGUUGUGGAGGUAACGGCUCACCAAGGCAACGAUGCGUAGCCGACCUGAGAGGGUGAUCGGCCACACUGGGACUGAGACACGGCCCAGACUCCUACGGGAGGCAGCAGUAGGGAAUCUUCCGCAAUGGACGAAAGUCUGACGGAGCAACGCCGCGUGAGUGAUGAAGGCUUUCGGGUCGUAAAACUCUGUUGUUAGGGAAGAACAAGUGCUAGUUGAAUAAGCUGGCACCUUGACGGUACCUAACCAGAAAGCCACGGCUAACUACGUGCCAGCAGCCGCAGUAA